rnacentral:tRNA from 1 species
GCCUGGUUGGCUCAGUGGGUAGAGCACGUGACUCUUGAUCUCAGGGUUUUGAGUUUGAUCCCCAUGUUGGGCA